rnacentral:lncRNA from 1 species
UCCUACCAUUGGCAUGUUAAUAAUGCCCUCAAAAGAAAAAGCACUGAUGGAUUGUCAUAGAAGCAUAUUUUAUUAGACUAAUAUGGUCUAAAUAUAAGCAGUUACAUUUAUUUCAUGUUUGGAGCGGUGCAAAGUUUACCAAAAGAUGCAUUGUAGCAAAGGAGAAGAAUAAUUGUGGUCUGAGACCAGAGACACAAAAAC